UAGUCCACGCCGUAAACGAUGGAUGCUGUAUAUCGGAAGGUUUCUUUCGGUGUUCAAGCUAACGCGUUAAGCAUCCCGCCUGGGGAGUACGACCGCAAGGUUAAAACUCAAAGGAAUUGACGGGAGCCCGCACAAGCGGUGGAGCAUGUGGUUUAAUUCGAUGCGACGCGAAAAACCUUACCAGCCCUUGACAUAUGGAUAGAGAUCUCAGAGAUGAGAUCGCGGUUCGGCCGGAUCUUUACAGGUGCUGCAUGGCUGCCUUCAGCUCGUGUCGUGAGAUGUUGGGUUAAGUCCCGCAACGAGCGCAACCCUUUUCUCUAUUUGCCAUCAGGUUAUGCUGGGAACUAUAGAGAGACUGCCAGCGAAAAGCUGGAGGAGGGAGAGGAUUAUGUCAGGUAUCAUGGCCCUUAUGGGCUGGGCUACACACGUGCUACAAUGGAAAGACAAAGGGAUGCGAAGAAGCGAUUCGGAGCCAAUCCUCAAAUCUUUCCU
rnacentral:rRNA from 1 species